rnacentral:piRNA from 1 species
UGUGAUUGGAAGAACACAACUGUUGGCUUGU